AUCAUGGCUGUUGAAGACUGAAAACUUCCAUUUGUGCACAGAGCAGAUACAGCACAGGCAGUGGCAGCAUUAAGCUUCCUUCACUGGCUUGAGAUCAGGUGCUCAGGUGCUGGCCUCUUUGCUGAGACAGCCAAUCAGAUAUUAAUUAUCAUGACAAUUGUGAUGGUGGCUUUU
rnacentral:sRNA from 1 species